CCCGGCGACCGGCGCACGGGUGAGUAACACGUAUGAAACCUGCCCGUAGCAGGGGGAUAAGCGGAAGAAAUUCCGUCUAAUACCGCGUAGCAACCCGAGGAGGCAUCUCCUCGGGUUUAAAGGAAGCGAUUCCGGCUACGGAUGGGCUCGCGUCUGAUUAGCUGGUUGGUGAGGUAACGGCUCACCAAGGCGACGAUCAGUAGCCGUACUGAGAGGUAGAACGGCCACAUUGGGACUGAGACACGGCCCAGACCCCUACGGAAGGCAGCAG
rnacentral:rRNA from 1 species